GGAAAAGGAACUACAAGUGGCCAUCCCCUCUGGGAGGCCCAGGAGCCAUGUCAUAGGCAGUGGGAGUGCUACUUCACAAUGCUGGAGACCAUACCGGAAGGCUCUGUGUCUGCAGCCACGUCUACCUGAACUCACCAAGCUCGACUGUGGGCAAACCCCUGACCUGGCUGGCCAAAGGACUGGAAGGAGGAUCACAGCAUUAGGAUUCUAUUGAGGGUGCCUAUCUCUUCCUCCCCCAUCUCUGGGGAAAUAAACUUUUUAACUUGUAUAUUUUA